rfam:Stegodyphus mimosarum contig8557, whole genome shotgun sequence.
GCCUUCGUGGUGUAGGGGCCAGCACGCUCGACUCGUAACCGAGAGGUCCGGGGUUCGAUCCCGGCGAAGGCG